AGUGAACGCUGGCGGUAGGCCUAACACAUGCAAGUCGAACGGCAGCACAGAGGAGCUUGCUCCUUGGGUGGCGAGUGGCGGACGGGUGAGGAAUACAUCGGAAUCUACUCUGUCGUGGGGAUAACGUAGGGAAACUUACGCUAAUACCGCAUACGACCUACGGGUGAAAGCAGGGGAUCUUCGGACCUUGCGCGAUUGAAUGAGCCGAUGUCGGAUUAGCUAGUUGGCGGGGUAAAGGCCCACCAAGGCGACGAUCCGUAGCUGGUCUGAGAGGAUGAUCAGCCGCAGUGGAACUGAGAGACGGGCCAGACUCCUACGGGAGGCAGCAGUGGGGAAUAGUGGACAAUGGGCGCAAGCCUGAUCCAGCCAUACCGCGUGGGUGAAGAAGGCCUUCGGGUUGUAAAGCCCUUUUGUUGGGAAAGAAAUCCAUCUGGUUAAUACCCGGGUGGGAUGACGGUACCCAAAGAAUAAGCACCGGCUAACUUCGUGCCAGCCGCCGCCGUAA
rnacentral:rRNA from 1 species